rnacentral:rRNA from 1 species
AACGCGAAGAACCUUACCUGGACUUGACAUGCUUUUGACCGCUGUAGAAAUACAGUUUUCUCGCAAGAGACAGAAGCACAGGUGCUGCAUGGCUGUCGUCAGCUCGUGCCGUGAGGUGUUGGGUUAAGUCCCGCAACGAGCGCAACCCUUGUCGUUAGUUGCUACCGCGUAAUGGCGAGCACUCUAGCGAGACUGCCUAGGUUAACUAGGAGGAAGGUGAGGAUGACGUCAAGUCCGCAUGGCCUUUAUGUCCAGGGCUACACACGUGCUACAAUGGUCGGUACAAAAGGUAGCGAAGUCGCAAGAUGGAGCAAAUCCCCAAAGCCGGCCCCAGUUCAGAUUGGAGUCUGCAACUCGACUCCAUGAAGAUGGAAUUGCUAGUAAUGGCGGGUCAGCAACACCGCCGUGAAUCCGUUCCCGGGCCUUGUACACAUCGCUCGUC